CAGACAGGAGAGGGAAACUGGUCCACCCAGGUCAGUACCAGACAGGAGAGGGAAACUGGUCCACCCAGGUCAGUACCAG